rnacentral:rRNA from 1 species
UGGGGAAUCUUGCACAAUGGGCGAAAGCCUGAUGCAGCAACGCCGCGUGCGGGAAGAAGGCCCUAGGGUUGUAAACCGCUUUCAGUAGGGAAGAAAAUGACGGUACCUACAGAAGAAGGUGCGGCCAACUACGUGCCAGCAGCCGCGGUGACACGUAGGCACCAAGCGUUAUCCGGAUUUAUUGGGCGUAAAGAGCUCGUAGGCGGUUCGGUAAGUCGGGUGUGAAAACUCUGGGCUCAACCCAGAGAGGCCACCCGAUACUGCUGUGACUAGAGUGCGGUAGGGGAGCGGGGGAAUUCCUGGUGUAGCGGUGAAAUGCGCAGAUAUCAGGAGGAACACCAGCGGCGAAGGCGCCGCUCUGGGCCGUAACUGACGCUGAGGAGCGAAAGCAUGGGUAGCAAACAGGAUUAGAUACCCUGGUAGUCCAUGCCGUAAACGUUGGGCACUAGGUGUGGGUCUCAACCAACGAGAUCCGCGCCGUCGCUAACGCAUUAAGUC